rnacentral:tRNA from 1 species
GGAGAAAUGGCAGAGUGGUCGAUUGCGGCGGUCUUGAAAACCGUUGUCCGGGCGACUGGACCGGGGGUUCGAAUCCCUCUUUCUCCGCAA